GGAUACCGUUGAUAUGCAAAUAG
rnacentral:siRNA from 1 species